CCAAAACAACAUGUCUCAAAAUAAAACUCUUACUAAAAAAAAUACAUUGCUCUCAAUUAAACUAAAAAGAAAUAGGAACAAUAUGAUACUCAAAACAGAAUCACUAAUACACAAAUUAAAAACAUAACUUCUAAAAAAAAAAACAACUAAAACAAUAAAUAAAAAAAAACUAAAGAAAUGCAAUGCUCUGUUUUCAAAUCUGAAAACAGAGCACCACUCUUCCUCCUGUUUCUUCUUCUUCCUUGGACCAUCCGGCCAUCACCCAGCCAAGCUCCCCCCUUUCUCUCUGCCGAUGGCUCCUUUAUAUAGAUCCCCAGCAAGCACGUGGAGGUGAGGGAAAUAUGGAAGCGUGAUCAAUGGGAUUGGGUCUCCGGAAGCUGGCCGCGGGAGGGGAGGCUGAGACGGAGGAACUUGAUUGCAGCGUGGGAUGCCGUGGCUAGGAGGAUCAUGGAGGAGAUUGAUGAUGGACGCUGGGGCGCUGAAGAAGAAGAUCUCGGGUGCUGAUGUGGGAUGCUUCGAUCACGGAGAAGGAGGUCGAUGAUCCGUGGAGCUGAUCUGGCUGACGGGAAGGAGGCUGAAAUCAUGGUGAUUGCUGAUUUCCUCCUUCACGGUGGCUGGAUCAUGGCUUGAUUGGUGCUGGGACAUUCAUCGCGUGAAGAACGCGGGCUGCUAGGGCGGACGUGGGAGGCAGGAGUGCAUCACGGGAGGAAGAAGCUCUGUGGAUCAUUUGUGAUGUGCGGAAGAGCUGGGAUGCUAGGAGGACGUCAAUCGUGGCCACGGUGGAGGCCGGGAUCACGGACUAGCGUCCGCAUCACGGGCGGCUGCACGCGAUAAUGGGAGAGGCGGUCAUCUAUGCUAACAUGAGGUCAAUUGCAAGUCUUUCAAGUCCCAGCACCUCAUAGUUAUGAUAUGGUCAAAUUAGAUUUGCCCAAAAUUCUUUCCCAAAAGCACAAAGAAAUUGGACCCGAUUCGGACCCGACCCCGACUCGGACCCGACCCGAUCUUCAACCGGGUCGGAUCUGGAAAGGGAUCCUUCUUUAGUCAAAUUUGUACUCAAUGUGCAUUUUAUCUCUAAUUUAUGAAAAUCUGU
rnacentral:lncRNA from 1 species